UCGUUCGUGAUGCGUGUAUAUCAUGUCUAGAGUCUGUGUUCUACGGUGUGAAACGAUGUCGGUCUUAUUUCAACUAUCAUAGGAAUAACGUCUCAGGGAAAAAUGGUUACAAUUAAUUUUUCCAACGAUACCAAAGGAGUAUAACCCCAUGGUUGUACUGUGCGCGCGUCAUUUCACCGAAGAUUGGUUUAAUAAUCUUGGCGCGUUCAGUGCAGGAUAUGUGAAACGACGAUCAUUGAAAGAGGAGGAAAUACCAACUCUAUUUGGACCUGUUAGCCCCUCCGAAUCCCAACCUCAUUCGGGGAAAUACUCAAUGGUAACGUGAUACAUAAUGUGGAUAAAACAGACACAUACUGAACUUGAAGAUCAUAAACCUAUUUAAGGAAACGACUGGAUAUCUUCCGGUUUCUUCAAAGUCCCUCCUUCCAAAAUGCUUUGAUUGGUAAAGCUGACCAGGUCUGUCGUGAUUGGUUUUUCCGAUUAGAGUGUGUGUUAGAAGAUGUCCCACCCAUACCAUAUCAGCGAGUUCCGCUCCUCAAACUGUUGUGAUUGGUCGGUCCUCCUUUCAGUGCAGGUGAAUUCAUGAGCUUUGGCUUUUAGCAAUAAACAGUAACAAAUGCGUCAACUUCACUUCAUCAGUUAAAAACAUGGGGAUCGUUCGAAGUGUAACGGAG